rnacentral:lncRNA from 1 species
UGGUUGUUUGACCCCUGAUCGGACGAAGGUGUGCCUCGUGCAUCCACACCAGCCGCUGUGAGGAAGAGCAAUCAUGUUUCAGUCCAUGCAUGAAGGACUUGACGAGAUCAAAGUAUGACAUAUAUAUAUAUAUAGCUAAGAACGAAUAUCAUGCAUACCAUCCAAUGCAAGGACGACGAGGAGAAGGCAGAAGACGGUCGGCAUGAGCUUCAUGGUUGCGGCCGUCGCCCGGCGAGGAAGCAGAUGACCAGGAGGCGGAUUGGAGAUGGUUGUGGCCGUACGUGAGCCUAUACAGCCAUAUUUAUAGCAGAUUCUUGUGAUCGCGGUAGAUAGGUACGUUACGUAUGGCACAUGGAGUCACUAAUCCCAUGUACGUACGCUUGAUGAAUGCAUGCACAUCGUGGAGACGAAGGCACGUCUUGGGAGACAGAUAGAUAGAAGAAUCGUGUGUAG